rnacentral:rRNA from 1 species
ACUGAGCGUAAAAGGCGUGUAGGCGGUGCGGUACGUAGCGAUUUUAAGCCGUCGGGCUCAGCCGGGGGAGGGUUGCUAAACGGCCGGACUGGAGGGCAGGAGAGGUGCGGGGAAUUCCUGGUGGAGCGGUGAAAUGCGUAGAGAUCAGGAAGAACACCGGUGGCGAAGGCGCCGCACUGGACUGACCCUGACGCUGAGGCGCGACAGCGUGGGGAGCGAACGGGAUUAGAUACCCCGGUAGUCCACGCCGUAAACGAUGGGGACUAGGUGUUGCGCGGGUGCACCGCGCGGUGCCGGAGCUAACGCACUAAGUCCCCCGCCUGGGGAGUACGGCCGCAAGGUUGAAACUCAAAGGAAUUGACGGGGGCCCGCACAAGCAGUGGAGCAUGUGGUUUAAUUCGACGCAACGCGAAGAACCUUACCAGGGCUAGACGGGACCGUAAGCGUCGCGAAAGCGGCGGGCGCGUGGGGGAACUCACGCGAGCGGUCGGCAGGUGCUGCAUGGUUGUCGUCAGCUCGUGUCGUGAGAUGUUGGGUUAAGUCCCGCAACGAGCGAGACCCA